rnacentral:rRNA from 1 species
AUGCACGCUGGCGGCGUGCCUCAUACAUGCAAGUCGAGCGAACAGACGAGGAGCUUGCUCCUCUGACGUUAGCGGCGGACGGGUGAGUAACACGUGGAUAACCUACCUAUAAGACUGGGAUAACUUCGGGAAACCGGAGCUAAUACCGGAUAAUAUAUUGAACCGCAUGGUUCAAUAGUGAAAGACGGUUUUGCUGUCACUUAUAGAUGGAUCCGCGCCGCAUUAGCUAGUUGGUAGGGUAACGGCUUACCAAGGCAACGAUGCGUAGCCGACCUGAGAGGGUGAUCGGCCACACUGGAACUGAGACACGGUCCAGACUCCUACGGGAGGCAGCAGUAGGGAAUCUUCCGCAAUGGGCGAAAGCCUGACGGAGCAACGCCGCGUGAGUGAUGAAGGCCUUCGGAUCGUAAAACUCUGUUAUUAGGGAAGAACAAAUGUGUAAGUAACUAUGCACGUCUUGACGGUACCUAAUCAGAAAGCCACGGCUAACUACGUG